GUAAUAAUGUCAAGCUUUGAAUGGAAAGAGAUAAUGUUGUACACAUAAAAUGUCACCACCCACAGGCUGGCCCCACCAUUGACGCUUUACUCUGGAGUUGAGGGAUGUAACCCCUCCAAGUGAAUCACCACAAACCAAAAAACCAAAAACAGAAGCAGAAAAAAUACGUCCUAACUCAUUCUGCAAAGUCAGCAUUACCAUAAUACUAAAACUGGACAAAGAUAUUAUAAGAAAGAAAAAUGAGAGACCAAAAUCUGUCCUGAACAGAGAUGCAGACUCUCAGUGAAAUAUCAGCAAAUCAAAAUCGACGUGUAAAAAGAAGUAUAAAUCACAACUGAGUGAGACUGACACCAGGUGUGCAGGGCUAGAUCAACAUUCUGAAAUGAAGGCCUGUCCCAUGACAUCAACAGGCUGAAACAGAAAAAUCAUAUGACCAUUUUAGCCAAUGCAGAAA